rnacentral:rRNA from 1 species
UACGUAGGUGGCAAGCGUUGUCCGGAUUUACUGGGCGUAAAGAGCGCGCAGGCGGUCGCUCAAGUCGCGUGUGAAAGCCCCCGGCUCAACUGGGGAGGGUCAUUCGAUACUGAUCGACUCGAAGGCAGGAGAGGGUAGUGGAAUUCCCGGUGUAGUGGUGAAAUGCGUAGAUAUCGGGAGGAACACCAGUGGCGAAGGCGACUGCCUGGCCUGUUCUUGACGCUGAGGCGCGAAAGCUAGGGGAGCAAACGGG